rnacentral:rRNA from 1 species
UACGGGGGGGGGCAAGCGUUGUUUGGAAUUACUGGGCGUAAAGGGCUCGUAGGCGGCCAACUAAGUCGGAUGUGAAAUCCCCAAGCUUAACUUGGGAACUGCAUCCGAUACUGGAUGGCUUGAAUCCGGGAGAGGGAUGCAGAAUUCCAGGUGUAGCGGUGAAAUGCGUAGAUAUCUGGAGGAAUACCGGUGGCGAAGGCGGCAUCCUGGACCGGCAUUGACGCUGAGGAGCGAAAGCUAGGGGAGCAAACGGGG